UACGUAGGGCGCAAGCGUUGUCCGGAAUUAUUGGGCGUAAAGAGCUCGUAGGCGGUUUGUCGCGUCUGCUGUGAAAACCUAAGGCUCAACCUUGGGCUUGCAGUGGGUACGGGCAGACUAGAGUGUGGUAGGGGAGACUGGAAUUCCUGGUGUAGCGGUGAAAUGCGCAGAUAUCAGGAGGAACACCGAUGGCGAAGGCAGGUCUCUGGGCCAUAACUGACGCUGAGAAGCGAAAGCAUGGGGAGCGAACAGG
rnacentral:rRNA from 1 species